rnacentral:rRNA from 1 species
AUCCUACGGGGCGCAGCAGUGGGGAAUCUUGCACAAUGUUUUCAACCCUGAUGCAGCAACGCCGCGUGAGUGAAGAAGUCAUUCGUGAUGUAAAGCUCUAUCAGCAGGGAAGAAAAUGACGGUACCUGAGUAAGAAGCCCCGGCUAACUACGUGCCAGCAGCCGCGGUAAUACGUAGGGGGCAAGCGUUAUCCGGAUUUACUGGGUAUAAAGGGAGCGUAGACGGCCAGACAAGUCUGAAGUGAAAAUCCAGCGCUUAACGUUGGAAGUGCUUUGGAAACUGCCGGGCUAGAGUGCAGGAGGGGG